AAACAUGAUUAAUCAUGUUGGAUUAAUCAUCCAACAUGAUUAAUCCAUGUUGGAUGGAUUAUCCAUCCAUGAUUAAUCCAUCCAAUGAUUGGAUUAAUCAUGAUUGAAUUUUAAUCCAAACCAAUCCAACAUGA